rnacentral:rRNA from 1 species
AGAGUUUGAUCCUGGCUCAGGACGAACGCUGGCGGUGUGCUUCACACAUGCAAGUCGAACGGAGUAGCAAUACUCAGUGGCGGACGGGUGAGUAACACGUGGGAAUCUACCAUUAGGUGGGGAAUAACAGGCCGAAAGGACUGCUAAUGCCGCAUAUGUAGGCAUCUCGACAGAGAUGUUUAUGAAAGGAGUAAUCCGCCUUUUGAUGAGCCCGCGUCCGAUUAGCUAGUUGGUAGGGUAAAAGCCUACCAAGGCGACGAUCGGUAGGUGGUCUGAGGGGAUGAUCACCCACAAUGGGACUGAGACACGGCCCAUACUCCUACGGGAGGCAGCAGUGGGGAAUUUUACGCAAUGGGGGAAACCCUGACGUAGCGACACCGCGUGAGCGAAGAAGCCCUUUGGGGUGUAAAGCUCUGUCAACAGGAACGAAACAAAUGACGGUACCUGUGGAGGAAGCAUCGGCUAACUACGUGCCAGCAGCCGCGGUAAGACGUAGGAUGCAAGCGUUGUCCGGAUUUAUUGGGCGUAAAGAGUUCGUAGGCGGUUUGUUAAGUCUGAUGUUAAAGACCGGGGCUCAACCUCGGAAAUGCAUUGGAUACUGGCAGACUGGAGUGCAGUAGAGGCUAGUGGAAUUCCCAGUGUAGCGGUGAAAUGCGUAGA